AGCAGCCGCGGUAAUUCCAGCUCCAAUAGCGUAUAUUAAAGUUGUUGCAGUUAAAAAGCUCGUAGUUGAAUUUCGGGGUUAGUAGAUUGGUCGUGCCACUGGUAUGUACUGGUCUUACUGAUUCCUCCUUCCUGAUGAGCCGUAAUGCCAUUAAUUUGGUGUUGCGAGGAAUCUGGACUGUUACUUUGAAAAAAUUAGAGUGUUUAAAGCAAGCUAACGCUUGAAUACAUUAGCAUGGAAUAAUGAAAUAGGACGUUCGGUCUUAUUUUGUUGGUUUCUAAGAUUGACGUAAUGAUUAAUAGGGAUAGUUGGGGGCAUUGGUAUUCAAUUGUCAGAGGUGAAAUUCUUGGAUUUAUUGAAGACUAACUACUGCGAAAGCAUUUGCCAAGGAUGUUUUCAUUAAUCAAGAACGAAAGUUAGGGGAUCGAAGACGAUCAGAUACCGUCGUAGUCUUAACCAUAAACUAUGCCGACUAGGGAUCGGAUGAUGUUAAUUUUUUAAUGACUCA
rnacentral:rRNA from 1 species